UGGUUGACCUCACCCAGGUAAUGGAUGAUGAAGUAUUCAUGGCUUUUGCAUCCUAUGCAACAAUUAUUCUUUCAAAAAUGAUGCUUAUGAGUACUGCAACUGCAUUCUAUAGAUUGACAAGAAAGUUUUUGCCAAUCCAGAAGACUGUGUAGCAUUUGGCAAAGGAGAAAAUGCCAAGAAGUAUCUUCGAACAGAUGACAGAGUAGAACGUGUACGCAGGCCCACCUGAAUGACCUUGAAAAUAUUAUUCCAUUUCUUGGAAUUGGCCUCCUGUAUUCCUUGAGUGGUCCCGACCCCUCUACAGCCAUCCUGCACUUCAGACUAUUUGUCGGAGCACGGAUCUACCACACCAUUGCAUAUUUGACACCCCUUCCCCAGCCAAAUAGAGCUUUGAGUUUUUUUGUUGGAUAUGGAGUUACUCUUUCCAUGGCUUACAGGUUGCUGAAAAGUAAAUUGUACCUG
rnacentral:lncRNA from 1 species